rnacentral:rRNA from 1 species
UACGGAGGGGGCUAGCGUUGUUCGGAAUUACUGGGCGUAAAGCGCACGUAGGCGGCUUUGUAAGUUAGAGGUGAAAGCCCGGGGCUCAACCCCGGAAUUGCCUUUAAGACUGCAUCGCUAGAAUUGUGGAGAGGUAAGUGGAAUUCCGAGUGUAGAGGUGAAAUUCGUAGAUAUUCGGAAGAACACCAGUGGCGAAGGCGACUUACUGGACACAUAUUGACGCUGAGGUGCGAAAGCGUGGGGAGCGAACAGG